UGAGACUAAAAAAUAACGAAACAGAAACGACGUUCCUUCCACCUCCGCGCGCCGCCAAUCUCUUCCCACCAUCGCGCCCCGCCACUUCUCUCCGUUCGUCGCUGCGCUCCGGCUGUCGUCGUCAACGCUGCCGCUCCGUUUUUCUGCGGUAAUACCGGUUGGACCUCGGAGCAACUACAGUUGAACCAGUGAACCUUAAACUAAUAUCCUCCGGUUUGAUCAUAGGUCCAGUUCUAAUAACCUUGGUUUUUUUAUUAGUUCAACCUGGGCAAAAAACAUAAGACACAAUUCUUUUUAAGCCUGGUCCAUCCCUCAACCAAAAACCAAAAAAAUACGUAGCCCAUCUCUCUUUUCACUCACCUCCUUCCUCUUUCACGAUCAGAACUAGCCGCACAACACCCUCUGUUUUGAUCUUCUCCUUCCGUCCUUAAUCGCCGGCCGCCGCCGUCACGCCGUUUGGCUGACAGCUCUCACGCCGACCGCAGCGGUGCAGCCCCGGCGGCACGCCCACAGAGCCACGCCCACACGCACCGCACCCACCACAGUCCACAGGCCCACACAGCCCUGGCUUGAUUUUGCAGUUUCAUAGAGAUAGAGAGACAGAGAUGGGUUCCUCCCCUUCACCAGACAUAUACAUCCCAGAGCAGUGGUCAGAGGCUGCAGGGUCCAUUGCAGACAGUUCAACGCCUCCUAUUACUCUCAUAUGUGGGGCCAAGAACUGUGGGAAGACAAUCUUCUCCCGCUAUCUCCUAAACGUCCUCUUGCACAGAUAUAGCAGAGUCGCUUAUCUGGAUACUGAUGUAGGCCAACCUGAGUUCACUGCUCCUGCUUUUCUAUCACUUACCAUUGUCCACCAAGAAACUCCUGAUAUAACCAUUCCGUGCCUGAAAACACCAGAGAGGUGCCUUUUCUUUGGUGAUGUUUCUUCAAAGAGAGAUCCAACGUCAUACUUAAAUUAUGUAUUUGCGAUAUAUGAUUAUUAUCGAAAGGAGUAUUGCUCCCUUGAUAAGGAAGAAAAUUCUCCUAUGAUUGACUUGCCUCUUAUUGUGAAUACUCCUGGAUGGGUGAAAGGUGUUGGUUAUUCUGUAUUAGUGGACAUGUUGAAAUAUAUUUGUCCAACACAUGUGGUUAAGAUAAGCAUCUCCAGUGAAAAUAAGAAUUUACCUGCUGGACAGUUCUGGUUAGAUGGGGAACAUAAUGGAACAAUCAACUUAAUUGAGAUAAAUUCAGCUCGUCAGGACUCACUAAAUAGAUCGGUGCUUGUUCAGAAGGAUGCACGUCUCCUGCGUGAUUUACGAAUAAUGGCAUAUUUCAGACAGUGCUUUCCCAGUGAUUCAGAUAUUUCUACAAUCAAGGAACUUGCACAUUCGUUGGCCUCCCACUGUCCUUAUGAAGUUCCCAUUGCAAGCAUAAAGAUUCAACAUCUUCAUCGUGAGGUCCCAAGCUCUGAGAUGUUCUACAGUUUGAAUGCUAGCAUUGUUGGUUUAGCAGUUGAUUCUGAAGGACCUGAAAAUUUACCUUGGUGUCUUGGUCUUGGUAGGGAUUGUGAGGGGUAUUGACACAAUCAAAGGUGUGCUCUAUGUGAUUACACCUGUGCCACAUAGUUCUCUGGAUAAAGUCAACCUCUUGCUACAAGGUUAUAUCCAAAUUCCCAUUUGUUUAUUGCAGGUCCAGGGAUGCAUAUCGCCUUACAUGUCAGCAGAUGUAUUGACUACAAGUUAGUAAUUUUCUCGAGGUAGCAAAGAGGACCAUUGUCGUAACUUGGUAAUAACCAAUUAUUAUACAUUCUUCCUUUCUCAUGGAAGCACAUAGAGUAUAACUUACGUAUGCCUGAGUUAAGAAAAUCCAACCAAUUUUGUAGGAAAAAAGAGGAUGUAAAAUUGUUUCUCUAAUUAAAUUCGUUUGACUUAUGUGUUA